rnacentral:rRNA from 1 species
AUUGAACGCUGGCGGCAGGCCUAACACAUGCAAGUCGAGCGAGCGGCGGACGGGUGAGUAAUGUCUGGGGACUGCCCGAUAGAGGGGGAUAACUACUUGAAACGGUGGCUAAUACCGCAUACUAUCGGAUAACCCAUAUGGGAUUAGCUAGUAUGUGGGGUAAAGGCUCACCUAGGCGACGAUGUCUAGCUGUUCUGAGAGGAUGAUCAGCCACACUGGGACUGAGACAAGGCCCAGACUCCUACGGAGGCAGCAGUGGGGAAUAUUGCAAAAGGGGAGCAAGCCUGAUGCAGCCAUGCCGCGUGUAUGAAGAAGGCCUUAGGGUUGUAAAGUACUUUCAGCGGGGAGGCGUUACCCGCAGAAGAAGCACCGGCUAACUCCGUGCCAGCAGCCGCGGUAAUUC